GUAUUAACUUUUAUAUAGGUACAAAGACCUUAUUCAACAUUCUAAACAUUGUUAUAGAGAUUGUGAAAAACAACAUAGACCUGAAAAAAUACAAGGGAAAGCCGACUUUUUUCUUUUGUAAAGCACAGCAAUCCCCAACUCGAAUGGAAAUUCCAUUCAUAAUGCUCCCCCCAGGUCUACAGUAUGUGCACAGUUGGAGAAAUGACAAAGAUGAACAAGCGUGCACAUGCCCUCUUUCAAGGGCCAGCAAAAAACAGCCUGUUCAAGUUUAUUCGAUAAUGAUCCUUCCGCAGGUUCACCUACGGAAA
rnacentral:misc_RNA from 1 species